GACGGAUGGAGAAACUGAGUCCCAGCGAGCAGCAGAGACUUGCCCAGAGUCCUGGAGAAAGCUGAUCGCUGAGUCAGACUGGGAGCUUGUGGCCCUCCCUGGGGCCGCCGGCUGUGGCAAAGGCACAGGGAGCACAGGAUGCACAGCUUGGGUGGAGGGUGCGGGUCAGGGGUGGGUGGGUGGGAAGGAUUCUGAGUUCGUCCCAAUCCCGGGGAGCAGACAAAGCCUGAGAUGCCUAGAUGCCAAGACAGAAGCUGGGACCAGCUGUUUAUUCAACAAAAGCCUUUUUAUUCAUUCAAAAAUCAACCAUUGGGUUUAUUCCGCAGAUAUUAAAAAAGAAGGGGGUGGGGGGCAAGGCUUCCCAUCACAGUGCCCUUAUGCUAAUUCACUUGCUACCCCUGGGGUGGACCUAGAAGAGGGGCGUGUGGGACACAUGCUGCCAAUGAGGUGGGGCUGGAAGCCCAGGCCUGGGUGAGAUCUUGGCCCCCCUCCUCAAAUGUCUUUACUGCUCAUCACCACCAGGGGGCGCUCCCUGCAUUCCCCUCAAUCAAUACUUAGCCGCUGAAAUCACUGGGAACCCUGUAGCUGUCACCUUGAACAGUGAAGCUGCCACUUCCCAGGAGACCCAGGACUCCCACCCACCACCACCCCCCAAACCCCGAGCGAAGAGACAAUGUCCUCGAAAACCCAGGUGCAUCCGUCAUCUAGGAAGUGUCUGUCAAAAUGAAAAAACAUUUCAGGGGAUGGAGAGGACACACGUUUGCCUUGACCUUACUCUAAACAUUGCUUGGUUGAAUACUGGAAACGCAUGGCGUUCUAAGUACCAUCAACGCGGAGCGGGGAGCGGACACUGUGAGGAAGGAGCCAGGGCUGCUGCAGACGCGCUGCCGAGGCUGAUUCCUGCUCCUGGGCCGGGAGCAGGGGUGGGAGGGGCGGGGAGGCGAAGAGCCUGGCUUCCAGCCGGUCUGGAAGCUCCAGAGAGCAGCAGCUGAUGGGGUUGGGCCUCGGGUGGAA
rnacentral:lncRNA from 1 species